UAAGAAUUUAAAAGUCGAACAGACUUACUUAUAAGAAUACUGCUUCUUAAAAUUUUCUUAAUUCAACAUCGAGGUCGCAAAAUAAAAUAUAGAUAUGAACUCCCCAUUAAAAUUACGCUGUUAUCCCUAAGGUAACUUAAUCUUACUAUCCUUUAAAGGGAUCUAAAAUUACACAAACAAAUGAUUAUUAAAACUAAAGUUAACUAUUUAAUUACCACCCCAGCAAAAUACAAAAAUUAAGCCAUUAAAAAGUAUAUUAAUAAAACUUAAUAAUAUAAAAUUGUAUAAAGUUCUAUAGGGUCUUAUCGUCCCAAUAAAUUAAUAAAGCAUUUUAACCUUAAAUUUAAAUUUUAAUAUUUAAAAAAAUAAAACAUAAUUCUCAUACACCCAUUCAUACAAGCUUCCAAUUAAGAAACUAAUUACUAUGCUACCUUUGCACAGUCAAAAUACUGCAGCCAUUUAGAAAUAAACCAUAGGGCAGAAGAUACUUUUCAUAAAACCA
rnacentral:rRNA from 1 species